GACGAACGCUGGCGGCAUGCCUUACACAUGCAAGUCGAACGGCAGCACGGGUGCUUGCACCUAGUGGCGAGUGGCGAACGGGUGAGUAAUAUAUCGGAACGUACCUUAUUGUGGGGGAUAACGCAGCGAAAGCUGUGCUAAUACCGCAUAAUCCCUAAGGGGGAAAGCGGGGGACCGUAAGGCCUCGCGCAAUUAGAGCGGCCGAUACCUGAUUAGCUAGUUGGUGAGGUAAAGGCUCACCAAGGCAACGAUCAGUGGCUGGUCUGAGAGGACGAUCAGCCACAGUGGGACUGAGACACGGCCCAGACUCCUACGGGAGGCAGCAGUGGGGAAUUUUGGACAAUGGGGGCAACCCUGAUCCAGCAAUGCCGCGUGAGUGAAGAAGGCCUUCGGGUUGUAAAGCUCUUUUGUCAGGGAAGAAACAGCAGCUCUAACACAGUUUGCGAAUGACGGUACCUGAAGAAUAAGCACCGGCUAACUACGUGCCAGCAGCCGCCGUAA
rnacentral:rRNA from 1 species